rnacentral:rRNA from 1 species
AUUGAACGCUGGCGGCAUGCCUUACACAUGCAAGUCGAACGGUAACGCGGGGCAACCUGGCGACGAGUGGCGAACGGGUGAGUAAUGCAUCGGAACGUGCCUGGUAGUGGGGGAUAACUGCUCGAAAGAGCAGCUAAUACCGCAUACGACCUGAGGGUGAAAGGGGGGGAUCGCAAGACCUCUCGCUAUCAGAGCGGCCGAUGUCGGAUUAGCUAGUUGGGGGGGUAAAGGCCCACCAAGGCGACGAUCCGUAGCUGGUCUGAGAGGAGGACCAGCCACACUGGGACUGAGACACGGCCCAGACUCCUACGGGAGGCAGCAGUGGGGAAUUUUGGACAAUGGACGCAAGUCUGAUCCAGCCAUGCCGCGUGCGGGAAGAAGGCCUUCGGGUUGUAAACCGCUUUUGUCAGGGAAGAAAUCUUCUGGACUAAUACUCUGGGAGGAUGACGGUACCUGAAGAAUAAGCACCGGCUAACUACGUGCCAGCCGCCGCCGUAACAC